rnacentral:rRNA from 1 species
CAGUCGCCGCGGUAAUACGUAGGUGGCAAGCGUUGUCCGGAAUUAUUGGGCGUAAAGCGCGCGCAGGUGGUUUAAUAAGUCUGAUGUGAAAGCCCACGGCUCAACCGUGGAGGGUCAUUGGAAACUGUUAAACUUGAGUGCAGGAGAGAAAAGUGGAAUUCCUAGUGUAGCGGUGAAAUGCGUAGAGAUUAGGAGGAACACCAGUGGCGAAGGCGGCCUUUUGGCCUGUAACUGACACUGAGGCGCGAAAGCGUGGGGAGCAAACAGGAUUAGAGACCCCCGUAGUCCCUGUCUCUUAUAC